UACGUAGGGGGCAAGCGUUGUCCGGAAUUAUUGGGCGUAAAGAGCGUGUAGGCGGUCCGGUAAGUCAGCUGUGAAAGUCAAGGGCUCAACCCUUGAAUGCCGGUUGAUACUGUCGGGCUAGAGUCCGGAAGAGGCGAGUGGAAUUCCCGGUGUAGCGGUGAAAUGCGCAGAUAUCAGGAGGAACACCGGUGGCGAAGGCGGUGAUCUGGGCCAGUACUGACGCUGAGGAGCGAAAGCGUGGGGAGCAAACAGG
rnacentral:rRNA from 1 species